GGACCUGUGGUGUAGUUGGAAGCACAUCCAAUUUGUUGAUACCUGAUUGGAAGGUUACAGUUCGAAUCCGUACACGUCCA
rnacentral:tRNA from 1 species